ACGGAAGGCAGCAGUAGGGAAUCUUCGGCAAUGGGGGCAACCCUGACCGAGCAACGCCGCGUGAGUGAAGAAGGUUUUCGGAUCGUAAAGCUCUGUUGUAAGAGAAGAACGUGUGUGAGAGUGGAAAGUUCACACAGUGACGGUAACUUACCAGAAAGGGACGGCUAACUACGUGCCAGCAGCCGCGGUAAUACGUAGGUCCCGAGCGUUGUCCGGAUUUAUUGGGCGUAAAGCGAGCGCAGGCGGUUUAAUCAGUCUGAAGUUAAAGGCAGUGGCUUAACCAUUGUUCGCUUUGGAAACUGUUAGACUUGAGUGCAGAAGGGGAGAGUGGAAUUCCAUGUGUAGCGGUGAAAUGCGUAGAUAUAUGGAGGAACACCGGUGGCGAAAACGGCUCUCUGGUCUGUAACUGACGCUGAGGCUCGAAAGCGUGGGGAUCGAACAGGAUUAGAUACCCUGGUA
rnacentral:rRNA from 1 species